rnacentral:rRNA from 1 species
UACGGGGGGGGCAAGCGUUGUUCGGAAUUACUGGGCGUAAAGCGUGCGUAGGCGGCUAUGUAAGACAGAUGUGAAAUCCCUGGGCUUAACCUAGGAACUGCAUUUGUGACUGCAUUGCUAGAGUGUGGUAGAGGGAGAUGGAAUUCCGCAUGUAGCAGUGAAAUGCGUAGAUAUGCGGAGGAACACCAAUGGCGAAGGCAAUCUCCUGGACCUGCACUGACGCUCAUGCACGAAAGCGUGGGGAGCAAACAGG